UGCUGGUCUGAGGGCGGUGGCAUUAAAACCCAAUUGGUCACAACCAGUUUCAGAUUUGUUUCUUCUUUAUUUCCACUGCUUCACUUGACUACAACAA
ensembl:Y_RNA Y_RNA Y RNA